CUCUCACACACACUCACACUCACUCUCACACACACAAACACACACGCUCUCACACACACACUCACUCACUAGUAAAGAACCACGGAGCCCCAAGCCCGCCGCGCCUCCAGCAGGCAGCGUCCCCGAGCCGCCCUGAGCCUCAGGACAGGAAGGCGCGAGGCUCGUGACUUCCGGGAGGCGAGAACCGUGCGCCUGCGCGUGGGUCUGGGCUGAUUCCCUCGGGGCGAGGCACAGCAAAGCUUGAAGAGAGAGGAGUCUGGACGGCCACGUGCAGGACGGGGAAUGUCCAGCCCCAGCGACGCCAGAGGCUGCCUGGAUGUUCCUGCAGGAGGUCUGCCUGGCAAGGGAGCCCCGAUGUCCACAUCUGCAGAACUAGGCACAGAUAUCAACACAGUGCAACGCUGUCCUGCAGCCUGCAGACCUCCUGGCACGCUUUCACUCAGUUCUGGGUCUUAAAUGAGACAGAAUCAGACUCUACUGCCUGCCUCCAUGGACCUGAAUUAAUACCAAAGAUGUGAGCCCAGAGCUGUCUGACAGCUCUGUAAUCACCGGAGAGUUCCCUUCCGACUUUUCCCGCUGCCCCCACUGUUGCUGUCCCCGCAGACGGGUAAUGACCUCCCACGGCCGGCGGCAAAGCAGGUCUGAUGUCUCAGCUUGUUCUUGACUUUGUGGCUCAAAGACCUGCGUUUUCUCCAGGUUUCUUAGUGACUCUCCUGGACGUUUUCCUCGUUGAGCUUCUGGUGCUAAUUACUGCCCAUCGGGCAGAAUUCUGUCUGGAUUUGAUGUCUGUUGACUGGGGAUGUGCUGUUUUUCUGUUUUAUUUCUAAGAUGGGCCAUAAAUAGGAGGGAUAAAGGGUCCUGUAUGUUUUGAGGCCCCUGGGACUUCAAACACCCUUGCGUUGUAGAGCCCGUCUGUCCUGGUCUCAGCUCUGAGCUUCAUCCCUGUCCCCUGUCUGCAGGGCCUGGGUGCUGGGAGGGAACGUGUCUCUAGACCUUCCCUGCCAUCUUCAUUUGUUGGCC